rnacentral:rRNA from 1 species
GACUCUCGGCAAUGUAUAUCUCGGCUCUCAUAUCAAUGAAGAACGUAGCAAAAUGUGAUACUUGGUGUGAAUUGCAGAAUUCCGUGAACCAUCGAGUCUUUGAACGCAAGUUGCGCCCCAAGCCUUCUGGCCGAGGGCACGUCUGCCUGGGUGUCA